rnacentral:misc_RNA from 1 species
CUUUCCAAGACUUUAUCUUAUAUUUCCUCUCACAUCACAAAUCGUUGAGGCCACCGGUGUAGUAACAGAAACAGCAUGGGCAGGAGCUGCAUAUAAUCUUCUGCUUUACAUGUUGGCAAGCCAUGUCUCAGGAGCUAUCUAUUACCUUCUAUCAGUUCAGAGGGAAAUAGAUUGUUGGAAAAGUGUUUGCAAAGUUGAGAAUUGUCAAAAUGGAUACUUUGAUUGCCAUAGCGUCCAAGAUCCUGCAAGAGUUGCCUGGCUAAACUCUAGCAAUGUCACAAAUAUAUGCAAUCCAAGUAAUAGCUUCUAUGAG